rnacentral:lncRNA from 1 species
CUUUUAUUUUUUUCCAAAUUUCUCAAAUUCCAAAUUUUUUAAAAGUUUGAAGUUUGAAGAAAAAACCUUUAAUUGCACAAUAUUGUGCAAUAGAUUUGUAAGAUCUUGACAUUUGUUUUGUGUCAGAAACCCAUAUUGUGUCAAAAAUUUGAUCAGAAUCCAAAUUCUGAGCUGUAUCAAGCCUAAAUGUUGUGUCCAUACUUACCCCAACUGUUCUGGGUUCUACCUCUGUGGUCGUAUAAAGCUGCUCCCUGUGGAGCAUCUGGUUUUGCUCUGUGUUGAAUGCCUCACUAUGACUUUAAGAUGAAGAACAGCAUUAAAGCGCUGUUCCUUUGCUUUUUGUGUGUUUUUUUUGUUGUGCAUUUACUGAUUUAUGUGUCAUAGAUAGAUACCCUUUAU